CAAAGUAUAGUUAAUUAGAAUAACAUUUCACUUACGUUGAAAAGGUUUAUCGUGCAAGUCGAUUUGCUUUGA
rnacentral:tRNA from 2 species